rnacentral:rRNA from 1 species
UACAGAGGUCCCGAGCGUUUGUUCGGAUUCACUGGGCGUAAAGGGUGCGUAGGUGGUGAGGUAAGUCGGAUGUGAAAUCUCCGAGCUCAACUCGGAAAUGGCAUUGGAAACUACCUUGCUUGAGGGUUGGAGGGGGGACUGGAAUACUUGGUGUAGCAGUGAAAUGCGUAGAUAUCAAGUGGAACACCAGUGGCGAAGGCGAGUCCCUGGACAACUCCUGACACUGAGGCACGAAAGCUAGGGGGAGCAAACAGG